GGCUGCGAGCGCUCAGCGGGAGAGCGUUCGCUUCACACGCGAGAGGUCCAUGACUAGAUCCCAAGUGCACCCACCA
rnacentral:tRNA from 2 species